ensembl:snRNA U6 U6 spliceosomal RNA
ACACUUCAGUUUCCACAGCAUAUAUACUAAAAUUAGAAUGAUACAGAAAACAUUAUUGUGACCCCUGUGCAAGGAUAACAUGCAAAUUGGUGAAGCAUUCCAUAUAUAU